rnacentral:rRNA from 1 species
AGAGUUUGAUCCUGGCUCAGAUUGAACGCUGGCGGCAUGCCUUACACAUGCAAGUCGAACGGCAGCACGGGAGCAAUCCUGGUGGCGAGUGGCGAACGGGUGAGUAAUGUAUCGGAACGUACCUUUCAGUGGGGGAUAACGUAGCGAAAGUUACGCUAAUACCGCAUAUUCUGUGAGCAGGAAAGCAGGGGAUCGCAAGACCUUGCGCUGAUUGAGCGGCCGAUAUCAGAUUAGCUAGUUGGUGAGGUAAAGGCUCACCAAGGCGACGAUCUGUAGCGGGUCUGAGAGGAUGAUCCGCCACACUGGAACUGAGACACGGUCCAGACUCCUACGGAAGGCAGCAGUGGGGAAUUUUGGACAAUGGGCGCAAGCCUGAUCCAGCCAUGCCGCGUGCGGGAAGAAGGCCUUCGGGUUGUAAACCGCUUUUGUCAGGGAAGAAAUCCUUUGGGCUAAUACCCCGGGGGGAUGACGGUACCUGAAGAAUAAGCACCGGCUAACUACGUGCCAGCAGCCGCGGUAAUACGUAGGGUGCAAGCGUUAAUCGGAAUGACUGGGCGUAAAGCGUGCGCAGGCGGUUAUGCAAGACAGAUGUGAAAUCCCCGGGCUCAACCUGGGAACUGCAUUUGUGACUGCAUAGCUGGAGUGCGGCAGAGGGGGAUGGAAUUCCGCGUGUAGCAGUGAAAUGCGUAGAUAUGCGGAGGAACACCGAUGGCGAAGGCAAUCCCCUGGGCCUGCACUGACGCUCAUGCACGAAAGCGUGGGGAGCAAACAGGAUUAGAUACCCUGGUAGUCC